UUGCCUUGUAUGGAUGGCUUCACUCAAAACAAUACAUAUGCCUUCUGUUUAUUUGCCUGACAAAUGACCAUCAGAUGAAUCAAUCAAAUAGGGGGAAUUGGGGAGCAUUUCAAACCAAAACAAAGAAUUGAUCCUAACUACUAAAGUGCAGCAGCUUUAAAGCCUCUGAAUUAUUUUGCUCUUACUCCACCAGGAAAGUGCAGGCCUUCAAGAACCAAAAGAUUUAAGAGUGGAACUAAAAGAACAGCAUUCAAAUCCUCGUAAGCCAUGUUGUUUAUAUCCUUAAACCCAACAAAUGAUUGUGGAAUAAUAACCUUGAUCUUAUUCAACUCCUCAGCUAAAUUUCGUCUUCUUCCCUUCAUCCUCAGAUCUGCACACGUCAAGUACACUUCGAAUUGAACAAUACCAUGCAUUGAUUUCAGUUUAAGCUGUCCAUAUAAGUAAAGCAGCAGGUCAGUCACAAGAACCGAAUAAAGAGAUACUAUCCAACUAAUAUAUAAACGAUGAAUCAUGAAGAGAUAGUACAAUUUCUCCUCGCACACACAAAAAUAAAAAAUCCUAAAAUAACUUAGCUACAGAUUAUGAAGCAAGUAGGCCCUUAGAUUCACACAAUUUUAACAUCAUGCACAUGUUAAAUGGUAUACUCAUCACUGUACAGAGUAUGUUGAGAUUAGAAAUAAAAAUAGCAGAGCAAGGCAUUAGAUUGCAGAGAUUAACAAUGGAAACAUCGUAACAAAUACAACAUUUGUAGGGUGGAGGAGGAGCUCACCUAGAGCUUAGGCCCUCUGCCCGCCAUAUAGGCAAAGGAGAUGCGUCUUGACAGCACUCUGAAUAAAAUGUAUGGCUACGAGCAAAGGAAAGGUCUACGGAGUGAGGACAAGCAGAGAGCACGAGCAAGGGAUCAGACAUGCAGUAAAUUCCUGCACAAAAGACAGACUUUCGACCCAGUUUCUAUGCUCCAUGUACUACCCUGCAAACCAGAAUGAAAAUCACCAUAUACAUUUUCAUUGCAGCAACAUGUAACCCGUUAAUAAACAGAGACCACUUUCUGUACAUCCACAUAUACCCACUAAAACACAAAGAGAACUGUUGUGCUUGUUCCAUUACUGUCUGCGUGUGUCCACAUACACUUAUUAGAAUAAACGGAGAAUACUAAGAGGCAGCAAGAGUAUAGUAUCGCUCGUGAAGAACUAACCAAUGUUCAGAAAGAGGUGACUACAGAAUUGAUAGGGCAAUAGUAGCUACACCUGGGACUCCACCCCAACACCUCUCCUCAUGAAUGACCUUAACCUAUCGAUAUCAUUAAAAUUGAUUUUAAAAGUAGAUGGGAGUAAGGCCAGAAAAGAUCACUUAGUUCAAAACCGCACGUUGUGUUAGAUCCUCAGAAUUAUCUUGGACAACUAGAUCUUAACUUGCAGCUACAAUCAGUGUGAAUGUAAGCACAGUGCAGUGAAUGUAGUAGAUAUAUUCAGACGACACUAUCAGUAGCAUAGAAAUUAGUGAACUGGUUAAUUCUUAGUAUAAAUGAAAAUGAUUGAGCCUCUCAAAGCUUGUUCGUAUCAUUAUUGGGUCAUGCUUACAUUUACUUAUCCACAGUACUAUCCACAGUACUAAACAAGCAGUACUUGCGUAGAAAAGGCAAGUUACCUUGGAGAAUUAACAUUUGAUUGAUUUGUUCUUCAAAAGGUAUACCUACACAUAUCGUACAGAGGCGUUUAGGCUACACAAAUCUUGCAUAGAAGAUGGGUAGGAGAGAGAGAGAUCAUGAGCGAAGGGGAAAUAAGGAUUGGGGAAGCUCACCCUGAUAUGCGCCCCUCCCCAAACUCUGCCGGAGGUCGCCCAUCCCUGCCGCUGUUGCUCACCUCGUCCGGCUGGGUGGAAGAGGAAGCAGCUGCCCGAGCCCUCCUUCCUUGGAUCCACAUCGCAUCACCCCUCCCCUUCUCCUCAAUCCGCCUGAGAGAGUUUGGAACUCACGUAGGCCUCGCACACGCCUCCCGCACGCCUCGCGCUUUGAAGACCUGGCCGUGCAUGCGGGAGGCCCCUGUCCGAGGACAAGGGCGAGAGGCGCCAGCGGGAAGGAGGAAGCGAGAGAAGGGAUGCGGCGGCCGGCGGCUAUCAAGACGAGCAGGAAGGAGGGAGGGGAUGCGGCGCCUAUGAUGUCGAGCGAGGGAGAAAGGAGAGGUGUGGCGGCUAGGGUUGGUGCGGAUGUGUGCUUUGGCGCAGCAACCCCUCGACAUGGACUGGGAGCGGAGCGCGCGCGGGGAU
rnacentral:lncRNA from 1 species